UCCCUGGUGGUCCAGUGGCUAUGACUCUGCGCUUGCAAUGCAGGGGGCCGGAGUUUGAUCCCUGGUCAGGGAA
rnacentral:tRNA from 1 species